rnacentral:siRNA from 1 species
UCUUUAGGUGGUUAACAUUGA